UCGGGAGACCCCCUGAGGGCCGCGUUCGGGGAAGAGGCCGCGCCGGCUACGGCGUCUCCAUCCUCCUAACCGCCGAGGCGGCCCGAGCGCGGCCCAGAGGACGGAGCGACUGACUCCCGGCCGGCCCCCGCAUCCCGGAGAGGAAUGCCUUCCCAGGUUUGGACAGUCUUCCAAGAACAACAGAAAAUGAGCAAAUGCCAGAAGUGUGCUGGCCAAGGACCCAUGUCAUUCAAGGACAUGACUGUGGACUUCACCCAGGAUGAGUGGUGACAACUGACCAGUAUCAGAGGACCCUAUACUGGGAUGUGAUGCUGGAGAACUACAGCCACCUGGUCUCUGUGGGGUACUGCAUUGCCAAACCAGAGGUGAUCAUCAAGCUGGAGCAAGGAGAAGAGCUGUGGCCAUUAGAGAGAAUUCCCAGGCUGGAGUGGUCCAGACAAAAGCCAUCAAGUCGGGUCCGGCUCUUUUUAACCCCACCGACUGUAGCCUGCCAGGCUCCUCUGUCCAUGGGAUUCUCCAGGCAAGAAUUCUGGAGUGGAUUGCUAUAACCUUCUCCAGAGGAUCUUCCCAACCCAGGGAUUGAACCCUAAUCUCCUGCAUUGCAGGCAGAUUCUUUACCAUUUGAGCUACAGGGAAGUGCUAAAUCUCAUCCCACCAUCCCUGGGUGGACAGAAUGAUCUCUGUUCACUUCCAAGGCAAACCAUUCAAUAUCACAUUAAUCCAAGUCUAUGCCCCAACCAAUAAUGCUGAAGAAGCUGAAGUUGAACGGUUCUAUGAAGACCUACAAGACCUUUCAGAACCAACCAAAAAAUAAGAUGUCCUUUUCAUUAUAGGGGACUGGAAUGCAAAAGUAGGAAGUCAAGAGAUACCUGGAAUAACAGGCAAAUUUGGCUUUGGAAUACAGAAUGAAGCAGGGCAAAGGCUAACAGAAUUUUGUGAAGAGAAUGCACUGGUCAUAGCAAACACCCUCUUGCAACAACACAAGAGAAGACUACACAUCACCAGAUGGUGAAUACCAAAAUCAGACUGAUUAUAUUCCUAGCAGCCAAAGAUGAAGAAGAUCUGUAUAGUCAGCAAAGACAAGACCGGGAGCCGACUGUGGCUCAGGUCGCGAACUCCUUAUUGCCAAAUUCAGACUUAAAUUGAAAAAGUAGGGAAAACCACUAGCCCAUUCAGGUAUGACCUAAAUCAAAUCCCUUAUGAUUAUACAGUGGAAGUGACAAAUAGAUUCAAGGGAUUAGAUCUGAUAGACAAGAGUGCCUGAUGAACUAUGGAUGGAGGUUCAUGACAUUGUACAGGAGGCAGGGAUCAAGAUCAUCCCCAAGAAAAAGAAAUGCAAAAAAGGCAAAAUGAGGAGGCCUUACAAAUAGCUGAGAAAAGAAGAGAAGCAAAAGGCAAAGGAGAAAAGGAAAGAUAUACCUGUUUGAAUGCAGAGUUCCAAAGAAUAGCAAGGAAAGGUAAGAAAGCCUUCCUCAGUGAUCAAUGCAAAGGAAUAAGAGGAAAAAAUAGAACAGAAAAGACUAGAGGUCUCUUCAAGAAAAUCAGAGAUAUCAAGGGAACAUUUCAUGCAAAGAUGGACACAAUAAAAGACAGAAAUGGUAUGGACCUAAAAGAAACAGAAGAUGUUAAGAGGUGGUAAGAAUACACAGAAGAACUAUACAAAAAAGAUCUUCAUGACCCAGAUAACCACAGUGGUGUGAUCAUUCAUCUAGAGUGAGACAUCCUGGAAUGUGAAGUGGGCCUUAGGAAGCAUCACUAUGAAAAAGCUAGUGGAGGGGAUGGAAUUCCAGUUGGGCUAUUUCAAAUCCUAAAAGAUGAUGCUGUGGAGGUGCUGCACAUAAUAUGCCAGCAAAUUUGGAAAACUCAGCAGUGGCCACAGGACUGGAAAAGGUCAGUUUUCAUUCCAAUCCCAAAGAAAGGCAAUGACAAAGAAUGUUCAAAUGAUCGCACAACUGCACUCAUAUCACACGCUAGCAAAGUAAUGCUCAAAAUGCUGCAAGCCAGGCGUCAACAAUAUGUGAACUGUGAACUUCCAAAUGUUCAAGCUGGAUUUAGAAAAGUCAGAGGAACCAGAGAUCAAAUUGCCAACAUCCAUUGGAUUAUCAAAAAAGCAAGAAAGUUCCAGAAAAACAUCUGUUUUAUUGAGUACACCAAAGCCUUUGACUGUGUGGAUCACAACAAACUGUGGAAAAUUCUUAAAGAGAUGGGAAUACUAGACCACCUGACCUGCCUCCUGAGAAAUCUGUAUGCAGGUCAAGAAGCAACAGUUAGAACUGGACAUGGAACAACAGACUGGUUCCAAAUCAGGAAAGGAGUACGUCAAGGCUGUAUAUUGUCACCCUGCUUAUUUAACUUGUAUGCAGAGUACAUCAUGUGAAAUGCUGGGCUGGAUGAAGCACAAGCUGGAAUCAAUAUUGCCUGGAGAAAUAUCAAUAACCUCAUAUAUGCAGAUGACACCACUCUUACGGCAGAAAGCAAAGAAGAACUAAAGAGCCUCUUGGUGAAAGUGAAAGAGGAGAGUGAACAAGUUGGCUUAAAAUUCAAUAUUCGGAAAAAAAAACAAAACUCAAUAUUCGGAAAACUAAGGUCAUGGCAUCUGGUCCCAUCACUUCAUGGCAAAUAGAUGGGAAAACAGUGUGAGACUUUAAUUUUUUGGGUUCCCAAAUCACUGCAGAUGGUGACUGCAGCCAUGAAAUUAAAAGACACUUGCUCCUUGGAAGAAAAGCUAUGACCAACCUAGACAGCAUAUCAAAUUAAAGCAGAGACAUUUCUUUGCCAACAAAAGUCCAUCUAGUCAAAGCUAUGGUUUUUUCAGUAGUCAUGUAUGGAUGUGAGAGUUGGACUAUUAAGAAAGCUGAAUGCCAAAGAAUUGAUGCUUUUGAACUGUGGUGUUGGAGAAGACUCUUGAGAGUCCCUUGGACUGCAAGGAGAUCCAUCCUGAAUAUUCAUUGGAAGGACUAAUGCUGAAGCUGAAGCUCCCAUCCUUUGGCCACCUGAUGCGAAAAACUGACUCAUUUGAAAAGACCAUGAUGCUGGGAAAGAUUGAGGGCAGGAGGAGAAGGGAACGAAGAGCAUGAGGUGGUUGGAUGGUUCUACGGACAUGAGUUUGACUAAACUCCGGGAGUUGGUGAUGAACAGGGAAGCCUGGCAUGAUAAAAAUGUUUCAGAUAAGAACUCUGAUGAAAUUAAUACAUGUCAGAAGUUGCUUCUUGAUAAUAAUUAAGAGGAUACUCAGCCUGGGAAGCAAUCCAACAACCAUAACCAAGAUGGGAGACCCCUGAGUCAUAACGAGGACCCUUGUGGGCAACAGAAGAUUCAGCUUUGGGGACCACCUGUGGAAGGUCAUGAACGCAGAGCAGCCACCUCCAGUGAGACAGUCACCAUCCCACCACAGAAAACUCAAACAGAAGAGAGGACCAAGGAUUAUGAGGAACAGGGAGGGGCAAGACACUAGUGACAAGUCAGCUAACAAAAUCCAGCAGGAAAUGCACAAGGGAGAAUCACUCUGAAGUUAAUGCAUGUGAGACAUCAACCCUCUUUCAACAUCAGGAAAUUAAUGUAAAGAAAACCCACAAAUUUCUUGGAAAUUUGAGAAUAAUUUCAGCAAGAAGUCCCAUCUUAACCUCAUAAAACUCAAAGAGAGAAAAUAUUUGAAUGUAGUCACCGCAAGAAAUCUUUUUACCAGGAGUCCCACCUCACUGAACAUCAGAAAACACACACAAGAAGAAGAGCCAUGUGACAAUAAUAAAUGUGGGAAAACCUUCCAGAAAGCACAAAACAUCCAGCAAAGAACUGAUGUAAGAAAGAAAACCUGUGAAUGUGACAAAGCCCCCGGGAAGUCAGCCAUUACCGAGCAGCAAAAGAAGCUCUAUGUAUGUGAUGAGUGCAAGAAAUCCUUCCAUCAGAUCUCAAGUCCUAAAGCUGAGCCAGAGUACUCACACGAGAGAAGCCCUACCAGUGUAAGGAUUGUGGGAAAUCCUACACAAAAUCAAACUUCAACUAUCACCAGAGCAUUCCCACAGGGGAGAAAACAUGAGUGUAAGGAUUGUGGGAAAUCUUUCUGUGUGAAAUCAAAUCUAACUAAACUUCAGAAGAUACUUACAGGGGAGAAAUCUUUCAAAUGCAAUGACAUGGGAAAACUUACUCACAGAGGUCACAAUUUGCUGAUCACCACAGAACACACACAGGGGAGAAGCCCUGCAAAUGUGAUGAAUGUGGAAAAUCCUUCUGUUUGAUGUAAGUCAGCACUGCACCUCCACCAGAGGUGAAGAAGAAACCAGAGAAGAACAGAAGAAACCACAGAAGAAACCCUAUAAAUGUACUGAAUAUGGGACAUCCUUCUGCUCUAAGUCAGCCCUAAUUAUUCAUCAAGUCUCUCAUACAGCAAAGUAACCCUAUGACUAAUGAAUGUGGAAAAACCUUCUGUGUGAAGUCUAUAAUCUCAUUAAACAUCAUAAAAUUCACUCAGGGUUGAAACCAUAUGAAUGUAACGAGUGUGGCAAAUCCUUCUCUAUGAAUUUGACUCUCACUGUCCAUCAAAGAACUCAUACUGGGGAGAGACCCCAUGGGUGCAGUGAAUGUGAGAAGUCCUUCUACAAAAAGUCAAACAUCAGAAACACACAGGGGAGAAACCACACAAAUGUAAUGAAUGUGGGAAAGCUUUCUGUAUAAAGUCAACCCUCAUUAUACACCAGCAGACUCACACUGGGGAGAAAUCCUUUAAAUGCAAUGAAUGCAAGAAGUCAUUCUAUGUGAAGUUGCUUCUUAAUAUUCAUCAGAGAAACCACACAGGAAAGAAAUCCCAUGUGUGUAAAGUAUGUGGGAAAGCCUUUUCUAUGAAGUCAAGUCAGAAGAGAAAUACUUCAAAUGUAAUAAAUGUGAGAAGUCAACCCUCAGCACCAGAGAAUACACACGGGAGAAACCUUAAAAAUGUAAAGAAUGUAGUAAAACUUUCUUUCAGAAGUCACACCACACUUAACAUCAGUGAACACACACAGGAAGAAACCUUAUCUAUGUAAACAAUGUGGGAAAAAUUUCCUCCAGAAAUCACAUCUCAUUGAACAUCAGAGCACACUGGAGAGAAACCCCAUCGGUGUAGUAAAUGUGUAAAAUUUUUCUGUUUUAAGUCAGCCCUAACCAUGUAUUAGAGGACUCACACAGAAGAGAAGGCUUAUAAAUGUAGUGAAUGUGAGAAACCUUUCUGCAUGAAGUCAUACCUCACUGUGCAUCAGAGAACUCACAUAGGGAAGAACCCCUUCAAAUGUAAUGAAUGUGGGCAAAGGUUUUAUGUGAAGUCAGACCUCAUUAAUCAUCAGAGAAUCCACACAGGGGAGAAGCCCUAUGAAUAUGAGAUGCGGGAAGUCCUUCUGUAUGAAGUCAAUCCGCAGAGUACACCAGCAAACACCACAGGGGAGAAGCCUUAUGAAUAUAACAUACAUGGGAAAUCCUUCUGCAAGAAGUAAACUCUAAAUAUGAAGUGAUUCACACACAAGAGAUAUCCUGAAUGGCAGCAGAUGUGAAAAAUCCUCCAGUAUAGAGUCAUAAUGUGUCAUACCUUUGUGAAUUCAUGGGAGAAAACUUGAGCUUAUGUACAUCAGAGAACACAUUAGGAGAGAGGUUCUCCAAGAAUGUUAUUUGUGGAGAUGGAGUGGAAGCAAGGUUUCUUUGAUUUUACCUUUUUAUGAAUUUUUGAACUUUGAACAAAUGAGUGGUUUACAUAUUCAAAAGUAAAAAUAGAAGAUUCUGAAAUUGAAAUCAACUUAAUAUCAAAUUGGCAACUUGACCACACAAAAGUAAUUCUUUGAAGAAACUCUGCACUCCAUGUUAUGAUUAUACAUCUUUAAUGGAAAGUGUUUAAGGACAAAAACGCCAGCCAAAAAUUAUAAAAUCACUCAUCAAUUUUCUUCCGGAUAAUAUUGCUGUUUAUUUGAAUCUGUUUUGUGUACAUUGUAGGAGAAAGCUAAAAUAAAUUAUAAAAGUUACUAGGAAUCAAAACUUCCAGUUUAAGAGAUAAGACAACUACAGAAA